GCCAGCCAGCCAUGCAAACAUAGAGCAGAGACACUCACAAUAAGUCAACUGGUGACACUCUUACUGGUCAGAAUCUUUCUCUGUGUGCCAUGUUCAUCACUCCUUUCUGUCUCUUUAUCGUUCUUUGUUAUUAUUGACAAGGGUUUUCUCCUCAGGAAAGUGAUGAAGAUGCCAGAAAAACAAAUGAGCUGAGAGUAGAAACUUCAACAAUAAGCCAUGUAAGACAAAGUGUUGUUUUCUGUCUCUCUCAAAUUACAGUCUCUAAAGCCUUGUUCCUGUCCCAGACUCAAUGCUCCCCUUCUAGUCUCUUUUUUAAAUGAAUAUUGGGCAUGUGUGUUCUUCCAAGGAUAGUGAUGAAGAUGACAGCCAAACAGAAGAGCAGAGAGCAGAAACUUUUAAUGAAGCACAGAGCUCUCAGAGCAAUGAUGACACUGGCAGCCAAACAGAAGUGCAAAGAGCAGACCUUUCCACAUUGGAACAGAAAGAACUUCAGCAUAUUGCUCACCUGUGGAACACCCACAUCAUUCAGAGAAGCAGAAAUGCAGUUGCACCUAGUGGCUGGCCUCACAUGAUGUACAUGCUUCCUCAGCUUUUUGGGGAAAGGACCAUCUCAAACAUGCAUCUGUGUAAGCAGUACAAACAUGCAGAGCACAAUGCAUACAACGAGGACCUUACCCAUGUGAUGAGACUGCCAUCCACUGGAGGAUAAGGUGAACACAGACAACUUCCUUCAUCUCCCAUCCACAAUUGAACUGUAUCUAUUUUUAAGAACUUGCAUACGUAAAGAUUAGUGAAAAAAGCUAUCCUGGCUCGUAAAGCACCACCUGCAUUAAUUUUUUUUUAUUCAUAUUGUCCACAGCCCCCCCACCAGCAUCCCGGGCUGACAGGAGACUCCCACGCCAAACCCAACGGGAGAGCAGGCGCAGGGUGAAGGUGGAGGAGGGGGGGAGGACGAGACAGGGGACAGAGAGCAAGAGGAAAGAGUGGCAGAGAAACAUGCAGGCCCCCAGCCCCAAGGGCCACCCAGACGUGCACGGAGGAGGCAGGAGAGUAACACCAAACCACCCAGGGACCACGAGAGCACCCGAAAGGGACGCACGCCCGCGCAGAGGCACCCAACACACCCCAGCAAGCCACCCAGGUCAAGGCCACCCCACAAGCCCAUGGAGGUCCAGGACUACAGUUAGAUCAGUGUGUUAGUAAAGAGUGGUGCUGGCAGUCGCUUGCAGGCUAGAUCAUCAGGCUAAAAACGAAAAAUCAAGAUUCAAUGCAAUUAGACCUGUAUAUAUUGUUGAAACAACAACAAAAAGAGGCUUUAAAACUGUAAGUCUGUACCGUACUACACAAUGUUUUCAUCUGGUGGCUCUGUUUAGGGAAAAAGAACUACGCUUGUCACGCUAUUGUCGUCAGGUCCGCUCAUCGUUUGAGUGGUUUGUGUGUUUGUCCCGCUCCGCUCAGCCACCAGAACUCAAUCGUCUGGUGAGCACUUCCAGAUUAAUCACCUUUAUGAAAAAUACAAGGAGAUUAAGAUAGAUUCCAGGCUAGCCCACUCAUGUCUUUUGCACCAAGGCGAGGAAAAUUUAUUUGUAUAGCGCAUUUCAUACACAAGGCAACUCAAUGUGCUUUACAUGAUCAAAAAGUGCAACAGGAAACAUUCAACAGCUUAAAAUCAAUAAGAACAUUAAAGUCGGCAAAAAAUAAAAAUAAUCAAUAAACACA
rnacentral:lncRNA from 1 species